rnacentral:tRNA from 1 species
GGGGGUAUAGCUCAGCGGCAUAAGCGCCUGCCUUGAAAGCAGGCAGUCGUGAGUUCGAUCCCCAGUUCCG